GAUAACCUUCGUGAAGACAAUAAGAACAUUUUCGAUAUCGAUGAUCUUAACGAUGAAAAAUAUGACCGUAAGAUUAUUGUUAGUGCUACUGAAGAAGUAUUGGAACAAUCUAACACUUUACAGAGUGAAGAAGCAGUUGUUCUACCGGCACCUGCUAAAUAUAAAGCUAGUGAUUCCACAAAAAUAGCAAUCACCCAAGAACCUAACCUAAUUGGUAUCCAUG
rnacentral:sRNA from 1 species